rnacentral:rRNA from 1 species
CAACUUUCAGCAACGGAUCUCUUGGCUCUCGCAUCGAUGAAGAACGCAGCGAAAUGCGAUAAGUAAUGUGAAUUGCAGAAUUCAGUGAAUCAUCGAAUCUUUGAACGCACCUUGCGCUCCUUGGUAUUCCGAGGAGCAUGCCUGUUUGAGUGUUGUGG